rnacentral:lncRNA from 1 species
AGGGGUUCUCGUCUGUGUGUGUGUGUGUGUACGUAGGGGUUCUAGUCGGUCGACCGUGUGUGCGCGUACGUAGGGGUUCUAGUCUGUCGACCGUGUGUGCGUGCACUUAGGGGUUCUCGUCUGUGUGUGUGUGUGUACGUAGGGGUUCUAAUCUGUCAAUUGUGUGUGUGUACGUAGGGGUUCUAGUCGGUCGACCGUGUGUGCGCGUACGUAGGGGUUCUAGUCUGUCGACCGUGUGUGCGUGCACUUAGGGGUUCUCGUCUGUGUGUGUGUGUACGUAGGGGUUCUAGUCGGUCGACCGUGUGUGCGCGUACGUAGGGGUUCUAGUCUGUCGACCGUGUGUGCGUGCACUUAGGGGUUCUCGUCUGUGUGUGUGUGUGUACGUAGGGGUUCUAAUCUGUCAAUUGUGUGUGUGUACGUAGGGGUUCUAGUCGGUCGACCGUGUGUGCGCGUAUGUAGGGGUUCUAGUCUGUCAACCGUGUGUGCGUGCACUUAGGGGUUCUCGUCUGUGUGUGUACGUAGGGGUUCUAAUCUGUAAAUUGUGUGUGUACGUAGGGGUUCUAGUCGGUCGACCGUGUGUGCGCGUACGUAGGGGUUCUAGUCUGUCAACCGUGUGUGCGCGCACUUAGGGGUUCUAGUCGGUCGACCGUGUGUGCGCGCACGUAGGGGUUCUAGUCGGUCGACCGUGUGUGCGCGCACGUAGGGGUUCUAGUCGGUCGGCCGCGUGUGCGUGCACGUAGGGGUUCUAGUCUGUCGACCGCGUGUGCGCGCACGUAGGGGUUCUAGUCUGUCGACCGCGUGUGCGCGCACGUAGGGGUUCUAGUCUGUCGACCGCGUGUGCGCGCACGUAGGGGUUCUAGUCUGUCGACCGCGUGUGCGUGCACGUAGGGGUUCUAGUCUGUCGACCGCGUGUGCGUGCACGUAGGGGUUCUAGUCUGUCGACCGCGUGUGCGUGCACGUAGGGGUUCUAGUCUGUCGACCGCGUGUGCGUGCACGUAGGGGUUCUAGUCUGUCGACCGCGUGUGUGCACGUAGGGGUUCUAGUCUGUCGACCGCGUGUGCGUGCACGUAGGGGUUCUAGUCUGUCGACCGCGUGUGCGUGCACGUAGGGGUUCUAGUUUGUCGGCCGCGUGUGCGUGCACGUAGGGGUUCUAGUCUGUCGACCGCGUGUGCGUGCACGUAGGGGUUCUAGUCUGUCGACCGCGUGUGCGUGCACGUAGGGGUUCUAGUCUGUAGACCGCGUGUGCGUGCACGUAGGGGUUCUAGUCUGUCGACCGUGUGCGCGUGCACGUAGGGGUUAUAGUCUGUCGACCGUGUGCGCGUGUACGUAGGGGUUAUAGUCUGUCGACCGUGUGCGCGUGUACGUAGGGGUUAUAGUCUGUCGACCGUGUGCGCGUGUAC